AGAGUUUGAUCAUGGCUCAGGAUGAACACUGGCGGCGUGCUUAACACAUGCAAGUCGAACGGGGCAGGGAAGAAGGGCGAGGCGCUUGCGUCUCAAACGGGAACCCAGCCUAGUGGCGGACGGGUGAGUAACGCGUGGGUAACCUGCCGUAUACAGGGGGAUAACACUUAGAAAUAGGUGCUAAAACCGCAUAAGCGUCCAGGGCCGCAUGGCUCAGGGCGAAAAACUCCGGUGGUAUACGAUGGGCCCGCGUCUGAUUAGCUGGUUGGCGGGGUAAAGGCCCACCAAGGCGACGAUCAGUAGCCGGCCUGAGAGGGUGGACGGCCACAUUGGGACUGAGACACGGCCCAAACUCCUACGGGAGGCAGCAGUGGGGGAUAUUGCACAAUGGGGGAAACCCUGAUGCAGCGACGCCGCGUGAGUGAAGAAGUAUUUCGGUAUGUAAAGCUCUAUCAGCAGGGAAGAAAAUGACGGUACCUGACUAAGAAGCCCCGGCUAACUACGUGCCAGCAGCCGCGGUAAUACGUAGGGGGCAAGCGUUAUCCGGAUUUACUGGGUGUAAAGGGAGCGUAGACGGCCAUGCAAGUCUGAAGUGAAAUGCCGGGGCUUAACCCCGGAACUGCUUUGGAAACUGUAGGGCUGGAGUGCAGGAGAGGUAAGUGGAAUUCCUAGUGUAGCGGUGAAAUGCGUAGAUAUUAGGAGGAACACCAGUGGCGAAGGCGGCUUACUGGACUGUAACUGACGUUGAGGCUCGAAAGCGUGGGGAGCAAACGGGAUUAGAUACCCUGGUAGUCCACGCU
rnacentral:rRNA from 1 species